rnacentral:rRNA from 1 species
ACGCUGGCGGCGUGCCUAAUACAUGCAAGUCGAACGAUGAAGCUUCUAGCUUGCUAGAGUGCUGAUUAGUGGCGCACGGGUGAGUAACGCAUAGGUCAUGUGCCUCUUAGUUUGGGAUAGCCAUUGGAAACGAUGAUUAAUACCAGAUACUCCCUACGGGGGAAAGAUUUAUCGCUAAGAGAUCAGCCUAUGUCCUAUCAGCUUGUUGGUAAGGUAAUGGCUUACCAAGGCUAUGACGGGUAUCCGGCCUGAGAGGGUGAACGGACACACUGGAACUGAGACACGGUCCAGACUCCUACGGGAGGCAGCAGUAGGGAAUAUUGCUCAAUGGGGGAAACCCUGAAGCAGCAACGCCGCGUGGAGGAUGAAGGUUUUAGGAUUGUAAACUCCUUUUGUUAGAGAAGAUAAUGACGGUAUCUAACGAAUAAGCACCGGCUAACUCCGUGCCAGCAGCCGCGGUAAUACGGAGGGUGCAAGCGUUACUCGGAAUCACUGGGCGUAAAGAGCGCGUAGGCGGGAUAGUCAGUCAGGUGUGAAAUCCUAUGGCUUAACCAUAGAACUGCAUUUGAAACUACUAUUCUAGAGUGUGGGAGAGGUAGGUGGAAUUCUUGGUGUAGGGGUAAAAUCCGUAGAGAUCAAGAGGAAUACUCAUUGCGAAGGCGACCUGCUGGAACAUUACUGACGCUGAUUGCGCGAAAGCGUGGGGAGCAAACAGGAUUAGAUACCCUGGUAGUCCACGCCCUAAACGAUGGAUGCUAGUUGUUGGAGGGCUUAGUCUCUCCAGUAAUGCAGCUAACGCAUUAAGCAUCCCGCCUGGGGAGUACGGUCGCAAGAUUAAAACUCAAAGGAAUAGACGGGGACCCGCACAAGCGGUGGAGCAUGUGGUUUAAUUCGAGUAUACACGAAGAACCUUACCUAGGCUUGACAUUGAGAGAAUCCGCUAGAAAUAGUGGAGUGUCUGGCUUGCCAGACCUUGAAAACAGGUGCUGCACGGCUGUCGUCAGCUCGUGUCGUGAGAUGUUGGGUUAAGUCCCGCAACGAGCGCAACCCCCUUUCUUAGUUGCUAACAGGUCAUGCUGAGAACUCUAAGGAUACUGCCUCCGUAAGGAGGAGGAAGGUGGGGACGACGUCAAGUCAUCAUGGCCCUUACGCCUAGGGCUACACACGUGCUACAAUGGGGUGCACAAAGAGAAGCAAUACUGCGAAGUGGAGCCAAUCUUCAAAACACCUCUCAGUUCGGAUUGUAGGCUGCAACUCGCCUGCAUGAAGCUGGAAUCGCUAGUAAUCGCAAAUCAGCCAUGUUGCGGUGAAUACGUUCCCGGGUCUUGUACUCACCGCCCGUCACACCAUGGGAGUUGUGUUUGCCUUAAGUCAGGAUGCUAA